UACGGAGGGUGCAAGCGUUCUCCGGAUUCACUGGGUUUAAAGGGUGCGUAGGUGGGCAAGUAAGUCAGUGGUGAAAUCUCCGGGCUUAACCCGGAAACUGCCAUUGAUACUAUUUGUCUUGAAUACUGUGGAGGUCAGCGGAAUAUGUCAUGUAGCGGUGAAAUGCUUAGAUAUGACAUAGAACACCGAUAGCGAAGGCAGCUUGCUACACAGUUAUUGACACUGAGGCACGAAAGCGUGGGGAGCAAACAGG
rnacentral:rRNA from 1 species